GGCCUGAACUGCAACAGCGAUGACAGGGGGGGUGUCUGCUUCAGCUGCGCCCUCGGGAGCCCAGGGCCCUUUGGGACGCGGGGAAGCAGGUCCCGUCCCAGAGCUGCCUGGAGGACGCCGGGCGGAGCCUGGAAAGCCCUUCGUGCUGGAACCAGCAGAGGCCCGAGCACCAUUUCUAAGCUUCUGACCAGCGCACCGGCUCAGGAUGGGAAACCACGCGGGAAAGCGGGAGUUAAACGCCGAGAAGGGCCACAAGGAUGCAGACACGAGCACAGGAGAAUCUAGCAAGAGGAGGAACCCCCACUACCUUUCCCGGGAGGCCUCGGAAGACAGUGACGUGUUCGGGGAGGCAGAUGUGGAGCAGAACAAUGGGGCCCCCUCUCAGGACACGGCGGUGACAGACUCCAAGCGCACAGCGGACCCAAAGAAUGCCUGGCAGGACGCCAACCCAGCUGACCCAGGGGGCCGCCCCCACUUGAUCCGCCUCUUUUCCCGAGAUGCCCCCGGGAGGGAGGACAACACCUUCAAAGACCGGCCCUCGGAGUCAGACGAGCUCCAGACCAUCCAAGAGGACAGCACAGCCACUCCCGAGGGCCUCGAUGUGAUGGCGUCACAGAAAAGACCCUCCCAGCGGCACGGCUCCAAGUACCUGGCAUCCGCCAGUGCCAUGGAUCACGCCAGGCACGGCUUCCUCCCGAGGCACAGAGACACGGGCAUCCUUGACUCCCUCGGGCGCUUCUUUGGCGGUGACAGGGGUGUGCCCAAGCGGGGCUCAGGCAAGGUGCCCUGGCUCAAGCAGAGAAGGAGCCCUGUGCCCUCUCAUGCCCGCAGCCAGCCCGGGCUGUGCAACAUGUACCAGGAUGGACAUCACGCGGCGAGAACUGCCCACUAUGGCUCCCUGCCCCAGAAGUCUCAGCACGGCCGGCCCCAAGACGAGAACCCCGUAGUGCACUUCUUCAAGAACAUCGUGACGCCGCGCACACCUCCUCCGUCGCAAGGAAAGGGGCGAGGACUGUCCCUCAGCAGAUUUAGCUGGGUAGGUGACACGCGCAUGUCCACGCGGCUGCCUCUCCUUCCUGCUCUCACAGCCACCCAGCUCCUGCGCUGGGCUCCGUUCCUUUGCCCGACGGUCCCCUUUCUUCCCCUUCAAGCCCGCUGGCCCGGCCAUCGGGGGGCCACCUGCUUCUCCCAAGGGGAACCCAGCGCUGGGCCGCUGCCCCCUUGCCACGCUGGACCUGAGCCCCUCCCCGGGAGGGUGCGGCUCCGUGCUGGAGGGAUGGGAGCGCAGGGGAUGGGAGACGAGUCCGUGCAGCGCUGGCCAAGGGAGGCCCCGCGGCCAGAGGACUCUCCAUGGCCACCCCUGCCCCCCCGGGGUUGACGCCUUGUUGAGGAAACACGACGCUGCCUUCGGUUACACACUCACAACAGCCUAACUGAGCCACGAGAUGUGGGGUUUGACUAUGGUGUGGUAACAGCCACAGCGUAGGUAUCAAGCCAUCCAGGAAAAGUCUUUUUGAGGAAUUUUGGGCUUUUGAAUACUAAGAACAAAGUGUCAGUGAAGAUUUCCAACGGCCAGCUUGCCCACCUUCCAGAUACCAGUGAACUUUGUGUCUGUGCCAGCCUAGAAUGGCUGUUGGUAGAGUCUAACCAAACCCACAGACUCCACUCAGUAGUCAUGGUGGGUAGAGUUCUUACUUGACAAAAGUUGUGAUUUUUGGGAUAAAAUCGAAGAAAAGCCACUAACUACAGGCCGGGAGUCAUGUCCAUCCUGGAAACACAUCCUGAUUCUCUAGCACAGAGCCCGCCUCUACUUGGUGCAUAAUUAAGAAGCAUCAUAUAAACAAAUGGAUAAAUUUUAAAAGAAAGAGAAAGGGAAGAGGGAGGAAAGACCAGUAAGGAGGAGGGGAGCGAGGGGGAGGGCGAGGCCCGCAGGGGUAGGGGGGUUCCACGAAGCGGCUGCCUCGGUCCGAUGCAUUCUUACGUUGAAUUACACGCAGAUAUUUGCUGCACCAUUUUACAGGAAUAUAGUUGAGCCUCUUCCUAAGCUAAUCAAUUUGCCGAAAAGGUGACACAGUGUAGGACCGUCACAUGGGCUGACCCCGCAGCCGAUUGACGUGUGACUUUCUCUGCCAGCAGGAGACAGACGACAUGGAAGGACGAACUCUUGUUCCCAUAACUCCUUGGUCUGCCCCCCGACUUUCUAGGCGUGGCCUCCCGGGCACUGUCGCAGCCAGUGGCCGGGGCAAGAGGACCUCUGUCCCUCUGGGCGUUCCCCGCACACUCGGCCCAACAGCUGACCGAAAGGACCUUCCCUUCCCUCCACAUCUCCCUUCCGGCUCCUACUAACGUGUAUUCAAUUUCUCUUUUUUCCAAAGCAAGAUGCUUCCACGUGUUUCCUUUGCUUGUCUGUUUUCUCGAGCCACAGGACUGUCUUCCCGCUUGGAGUUUCUGAGUGUCCCCUGUUCUCUUUCUAAACUACACUGAGUGUUUCUCGGUAAAUUCUAGGUUGCCCAAAGACAUAAGUGACCAAGAAUUUGAAAGGAGGAAAAGUCAGAUUGUUAAUCUGAGAACCUAUGCUUGAGUCUUGUCCUCACAAGCCUUCAUUUUCCGGGAAAAGCCGCAGGGACGGGAGGAUUUAGCCCUGGCGUGUGGGGUGCGGGUUUCCGCCACGUCACGUGUCUGUGCUCGGCUCUGCACGCUUUCGCCAUCCGCCUGCCCCUCCGUGUGCGGCCGUGCGGGGAGCAUGUCCGCGGAAACGUCUGGACCCCGGGGCAGCGGCGCCACAGCCCUGCCUGACCCCGUCUCCAGCACCUUUGAAAGCAAGACACAGAUUGCAUGGCUCCCCCGUCCCCUCCAGCCCUAACGCGUCUGUGAAAGUCGAAAGGGCUGUAGGCCGAGGCACAGGGUCCCGGGGGCUCCAUCAGAAGGCGGUUUUGUCCCGUCGCCUCGAUUCCUGGGGGGCGGGGCACGGAGUCUCCCACGUCCCGUUGGCACGACGGUGAAAUCUCGGGGCCUGUCCGCCGAGGACAGAGCCGGGGGGCUGCCGGCGACCUUCCGCCGACACCCAGCGGCUUGCUUGGCCCCCGUGUCGCACCUGAGGCUGGAGCAUGUACCGUGAAGGCCCACUCACCGCGUCUGCACACCCCGAGCCCCAGCCCCUCCCCGUGAUCGCAGAGGAAAGUCAAGCACGUCGGAAAACAAGGUGGUCGUAGGGACACAGAUAUUCUUACAUUUCAGCUGUCAGCGACCACUGCCCUGUGCCACAGCCUCGGAAGUGAGGAGUGAGGGGGGCCGCUGGCGGCUGGAGGCAGGGGCUGGCUUCUCCCUUCAUGACACACACGCCGUGAGCCCACAGGCUCUGUUCAUGGAGCGGAGCCUCCUGACCACCCCAUAAGGAGGGGCCGUUUAUCCCCAUUUUUUAGAAGAGGAAACUGAGGCUCGGAGAGGUUUUGACACUUGCCCGAGGUCACACAGCUAGGGAGUGGAGAGCUGAGACCGCCCAGGCUGCGCCCUGGUGCCUGGCUUGCUGGCCGGCCCCGCCCCAUUUCCUUCCUCACGACCGGCCAGAUCCCAGGGCCGCCAGGAGGACUCUGGUCCUGGUGCCACACAUCGGCGCUCAGGGACCCAAGCCAUGGCCAGGGGUGCUGCUUCCUGGGAGAGCCUCCUCGAGGCCAGAGAAUGUGGAUCUUGUCUUUCUGCUUUAGAAAAAGUCUGAGCCUCAAAAUUUUGCAGAGUGCUAAGUGCAGAGCUCUGCACCCUCCGGGCCUCUAGCAGGAGGGGGCAGGGGUGAGGGGUCUGCACGAAGAAGCAGGCGGGGACCCCGCCCACCCCCUCCCCACACCCAGGACAGGUGCCGGCCCUCCCGCAGCCUCCUUUCCAGGGACACGAGCCACCCCCUUCCGCAGACGUGGGGGAGAAGGCUUUUGCUUGACGCGCUGCACUUCUCUUGAAAGCCACACGGUGUGAGGAAGGGAUCUGGUCUUUCAGUGACAGCACUUGGGUGCACGGUUCCUCACGCGGGGGCCGGGGCGGGGCCAGCGCUGCAGCGAGGAGCGGGGGGUGCUCCGUGCUGGGGUCUCCCCGCGCCCCGCCUGGCCCCGCAGGCGCCGCCCUGAGAGCCGUCCGGUCUCUUGCAGGGAGCCGAGGGGCAGAAGCCGGGAUUCGGCUACGGUGGCCGAGCUGCAGCCCACAAGGGAUUCAAGGGGGCCGACGCCCAGGGCACGCUCUCCAAAAUCUUCAAACUGGGAGGAAGAGACAGUCGUUCCGGAUCACCCAUGGCUAGACG